CCCCCUCGCCAUACCACCCCGAACAUGCCUGUUCUUGUCUGAUCUUGAUAGCUAAGCAGAGUUGGGCCUGGUUAGUACUUGGAUGGGAAAGAGAGGGAACUACAGAGAGAGCGAGAGAGA
rnacentral:rRNA from 1 species